rnacentral:rRNA from 1 species
UUUAACUGAGCGUUCAGUUACUUGACGUAGACCCGAAACCGGGCGACCUACCCAUGAGCAGGAUGAAGCGAAAGUAAAAUUUCGUGGAGGUCCGAACCCACGAGCGUUGAAAAGCUCGGGGAUGACUUGUGGGUAGCGGUGAAAUUCCAAUCGAGCCCGGAGAUAGCUGGUUCUCCCCGAAAUAGCUUUAGGGCUAGCCUCAAGGUGAGAGAUACGGAGGUAGAGCACUGAAUGUCCUAGGGGGUAUUGCACCUACCGAAGACUAUCAAACUCCGAAUGCCGUCAUCUUAUACUUGGGAGUCAGACUGUGGGUGAUAAGAUUCAUAGUCGAAAGGGCAACAGCCCAGAUCGUCAGCUAAGGUCCCUAAAUGUAAGUUAAGUGGUAAAGGAUGUGGGAUUGCACAGACAACCAGGAUGUUGGCUUAGAAGCAGCCACUCAUUCAAAGAGUGCGUAAUAGCUCACUGGUCGAGUGAUCCUGCGCCGAAGAUUUCCGGGGCUAAAACUUACUACCGAAGCUACGGCAUCAGUAAUGAUGGGUAGGGGAGCUUCCCAUACGGGUUGAAGCAUGACCGUAAGGACAUGUGGACAGUAUGGGAGUGAGAAUGUUGGCAUGAGUAGCGAGAUGUGGGUGAGAAUCCCACAGGCCGUAAACCCAAGGUUUCCAGGGGAAGGUUCGUCCGCCCUGGGUUAGUCGGGACCUAAGCUGAGGCCGAAAGGCGUAGGUGAUGGACAACAGGUUGAUAUUCCUGUACUACCGAUAACCGUUUGAGAGAAGGGAUGACACAGUAGGAUAAGCUAAGCACACUGUUGGUUAUGUGUGCCCAAGCAUUGAGGCAGUCAAAGUAGGCAAAUCCGCUUUGAUAAUGCUAGGAUGUGAUGGGGAGCGAAAUUUAGUAGCGAAGUAGCUGAUUUCACACUGUCAAGAAAAGUCUCUAUCGAGGUUA